rnacentral:tRNA from 4 species
GCCCGGAUAGCUCAGUCGGUAGAGCAGGGGAUUGAAAAUCCCCGUGUCCUUGGUUCGAUUCCGAGUCCGGGCACC